rnacentral:rRNA from 1 species
GGAUUAGAUACCCUGGUAGUCCACGCAGUAAACGGUGAACACUAGGUGUAGCGGGUAUUGACCCCUGCUGUGCCGCAGCUAACGCAUUAAGUGUUCCGCCUGGGGAGUACGGCCGCAAGGUUAAAACUCAAAGGAAUUGACGGGGGCCCGCACAAGCGGUGGAGCAUGUGGUUUAAUUCGACGCAACGCGAAGAACCUUACCUGGAUUUGACAUCCCGGGAAUCUCUUGGAAACAUGAGAGUGCCCUUCGGGGAGCCUGGAGACAGGUGCUGCAUGGCUGUCGUCAGCUCGUGUUG